UACGGGGGGGGGCAAGCGUUGCUCGGAAUCACUGGGCGUAAAGCGCACGUAGGCGGAUUGCUAAGUCAGGGGUGAAAUCCUGGAGCUCAACUCCAGAACUGCCUUUGAUACUGGCGAUCUCGAGUUCGGGAGAGGUGAGUGGAACUGCGAGUGUAGAGGUGAAAUUCGUAGAUAUUCGCAAGAACACCAGUGGCGAAGGCGGCUCACUGGCCCGAUACUGACGCUGAGGUGCGAAAGCGUGGGGAGCAAACAGGG
rnacentral:rRNA from 1 species